UGCCAGCAGCCGCGGUAAUACGUAGGUGGCGAGCGUUAUUCGGAUUUAUUGGGCGUAAAGGGUCCGCAGGGGGAUUGUUAAGUUUGAUGUGAAAGCCCGCGGCUCAACCGCGGAAUUGCAUUGGAAACUGGCAAUCUAGAGCAUAGGAGAGGAGAGUGGAAUUCCUGGUGUAGCGGUGGAAUGCGUAGAUAUCAGGAGGAACACCGAAGGCGAAGGCAACUCUCUGGCCUAUUGCUGACCCUCAGGGACGAAAGCUAGGGGAGCGAACAGGAUUAGAUA
rnacentral:rRNA from 1 species